GAUGAACGCUAGCGGCAGGCCUAACACAUGCAAGUCGAGGGGUAGGAGCAGCUUGCUGCUUUGAGACCGGCGCACGGGUGCGUAACGCGUAUGCAAUCUACCUUGUACAGGGGAAUAGCCCAGAGAAAUUUGGAUUAAUGCCCCAUGGUAUUGUUUAAUGGCAUCAUUAGACACUUAAAGUUCCAACGGUACAAGAUGAGCAUGCGUCCCAUUAGUUAGUUGGUAAGGUAACGGCUUACCAAGACAAUGAUGGGUAGGGGUCCUGAGAGGGAGAUCCCCCACACUGGUACUGAGACACGGACCAGACUCCUACGGGAGGCAGCAGUGAGGAAUAUUGGACAAUGGGCGCAAGCCUGAUCCAGCCAUGCCGCGUGCAGGAAGACGGUCCUAUGGAUUGUAAACUGCUUUUAUACGAGAAGAAACAUCCCGACGAGUCGGGA
rnacentral:rRNA from 1 species